AUAAGUAUACAUUGCACUAUUGCAGUUAGGUAUGUCAGAUAUAUUGGCGCAAAUCACAGGGGUGACAAGGGUGUUUCAGCAGUCUGCAUUUUAAUGCUAGCACACUGUAUUUUAAAUAAAAAAUAUUUCAAUUGCCAAAUUACAAGAUCUUCACUGGAGUCUUUGUAAUAGCAUCAAAGUAAUCAAUGAUAAAUUUGGCUGGCAAUUAUUUCUGCAGCUGUUUUGCAAUUGCGUCCAACUAAUUGUGACCCCAUAUUUUAUAAUCAUAAAUUUAUUUUACCCGGUGAUUUAUGGUUCUACAGAUAUUAAAUUCAUUCUUAUUCAAGUUGUCUGGGUGCUGACCCACUUGAGUCAUUUAUUAUUAAUCGUAUUACCCACGUCGUACGCUACUGAAAAAGGUGAAAAAACUGCUGUGAUCAUAUGUAAAUAUCUAAGUCUUGAUAUAGAACCAGGUGAUAUGAAACAG